GGGGGUGUGGACGGCUAAAUUUGGAGCGGACGUUGAGGGAUUUGUCAGGAUUAUUGAAUGUGUCAUUAGCGAGCGACACAAUCCAGGUCGAGGAAGAAAGUGUUUCCCUGAGAGCGAGGUGUGCUCACACGACGUCGCACGCGUUACUGACGGGAGCAGCGUUCACAAGCGACGCUGUUUUCCGCCCGCUCUGAGCUAAAUUGGUGUUUUGCAGUGUGACCGUGAUGCCGACUUUGUCUCAAACUGUCACUAUAUGACCAUGUGUUCAAGGUCAAUUAUUGUUCACCGAAGUCCAUAGAUCUGUGGAGGUUCUCAUAAGAAAAGCUAAAACCACUGACAUAUGUCUAUAUCUAUAGUUUUAACGAUUACAAUUUGUUACCAGUGACUUAAGUACUGCGUUAUCCCUGCCAGACUGUGUGAUAGGAAACACCCUCCCUAAGUGUUAUAGUUACAGAAACGCCGGAAUGGUUUCACCGUGGCACAGCUAGACUCAGCAGUGUGUCUUGGUCUAAGACUCCUCACAGCUUGUUUGUUCAGUAAGCUAAGAUAAUGCACUGCCAGGUCUGCUCCUGUUUUAAGAUACUUCCAUAAUCUGUACACUUGUUAUUCUGAAUUUGCCAUGUUCUAUCUUGAUACAUAUGUAAACCAGACUGUAAUACAGAUCUACUGUUGAUAUAAGUGCAAUGUGUGUGGGUGUGAAUAUAUGUUAAUGUCCUCAUGUAGCUAUUGCGUUAACAGGGAGUGCCCGCAGAUAAGUUGGGAUGAGUGUUUCUUUACAGAGAUGUGGCUGGGGUGGGGACUGAUCUACUGACCGCUGAUGUCAUCCCUCUCCUCACCCUGUCGCCCAAUCACAUCCUAUACUUUCAUGUCACAUGUCCAAAGUUUGUUUUCCCCUGGAUUGUAGCUUGUACAAUGUCACUGGUAACUCAUGUUAACUAUUUAAAGAGUGUGGGGGGGAAAAGCGAACGUUGUUUAAUAACUCUCACAGUGGAUAAACUAAAGCUAUAGUUUUUUGCGUUUUCAGGCGGUGAAAACACGUCUUGUGGUUUUAGGAUAGAACCAAGCAAUACGUCAGCAUGUCACCCUUACCAUGGAGGGAGAGUGGAUAGGGAAGUAACACGGGUUAAACUCACAGGAGGACCAAUCACGCGGCUCGUUUCUCUUAAACUCACAGGAGGACCAAUCACACAGCUCGUUUCUCUCCACAGUUGCGUGUUGUCCUGCCCUGUCAUGUUCGAGGUCACAGAGCUAUGUGUUCAGCUUGCAGACCACUCACUCAACUCCAGUCUAAGCUUCCACAAUCACACUGAAAAGCCAUGAAUGCGUAGCUGACCUAUGUGUUUUGUUACUGUUUUAAUAUAUUUUUAUUCUAUAUUGUGCCAGAAUUUAAGAUUCUUCUGAAGGGUCAGAAAUGUUCAAAUAUACUAUAUGCUAUUGUUUAGAAGACUGUUGUCUCUUUUUGUUUUUUGCUUGUUCACAAAUUCUUCACUGAUUAUUUUUGAUGAUAUUAAGCUAUUUGGGCUACAGAAGACGAGAGGUGUUAAAAUAGAUGAGAAGUGUGUCAUUUCUGUUAUCGCCAUGGUACCUGGUUUGUCUGCUUUAGUGCUCUCUGAUAGGGACUGUUGUCCGUGUGAGCUAGAAGCUAUUGUGUGUGAUCUGUAGCAUCCCACGUCAACAACAAACAUAAUCCAGUCUCGAGUGGACGAGGGAUGACCGAUGGAAGUCAUUUCAGGCAUGUUAUUAUCAGCCAGGUGUACAGCAAUACAAUGCUCUGUGAGGCUCUUGCAGGUCUCUGCCAGUGCCAUGGACAGCCACCAGGGGGCGCUGAGCUGUUGUAUGAUGGAGGGCCCCUGUGGUCUGUUCAGCUGAAUCUCUGCCAGUGCUGCAGCGAGGGCGGGCUGGUCUGUCUCUGUCUCUCUGCUGCGCUUCGAUACAUUCCGUUUCCCCCCCCCGGUUCCAAGAACCGACUAAGGGACAGAUAAUAGACAGGUGGAUCAAUUCCGUUAAUAAAGGAUUUUGAGCACUUUUCACUUCCCAGUAGAUUCAUGAUAUUUCAGUGGAUGCCUCCGUGCAAUUUUUUCCUCAGCUAAAUUGACAAAAAUCUAUUUUUUUAAUCACCUGAAGAUGACUUUUAUCAUUCUUGGACACCUUGGAAUAGAUAUAGAUAGAAUGUAUGGGAGACCUGUUAUGUUUGGCUGUCACACAUACACUCCUUCCGUAGAUCUAACUGUUUGCUUUUAUUCUGAGAUAACCCUAUCUAGAGUUGAUGUUCUAUAAUUUAUAUAAAAUGAUAUUCUUUAUUAUCCAAUUGUGAAAUGGUUUGUGUUCAGUUGUGUUUGUUUAGGAAAUGUAUAAGUUGUACGUUUUUGAUAAUGCUGAAAUGUGCUUUGCCUGUGACUGGCUCAUAUGUUGACAAUAAAGGGGAAAUAGG